rnacentral:lncRNA from 10 species
GCGGAGAGCGCGCGCCGGGCACAAAGGCGCGGACCUCGGCCUGGCCCCGCCCCCGCCGCCUCCCGGCCCGCCUCCCUCCGAGGCCCUGCCCCCGCCCCGGCCGAGGCCACGCCCCCCAGCCAAUCCUGACGCGCCGCGCUCCCCACCGAGCCAAUGGCGGCGCUGUCCGCGCUCGGCCACCUGACCCCGGGCGCCGUUGUUAUUAGGCGCGGCGAGGCGGGUGGCGCGCGGCAGCAGGGUUGGGCUCUCGCCGUGAGUCGACGAAGGGAGCGCGGGCGCGCGCCCGCGUCCGCGCACUGAGAGUCGCCUCGGCCGCUCGCUUUCUCGACUCCCGCCUCGCGCCUCGAUCCUGUUCCGCCUCCCUCGGCCCUCCUGCCCGCCCCCACUCGUCGGCCCUCAGCUCAGAGACCUAAUAGGAUGGGGUCUUAGAGAAACAUCUUUUGAGCCACAGACUUCUUUGUUACCAGAAGGAAAAUGAAAGAAGAAAUUUAAAUACCACUUGAAGAGAGGUAAAUAAAUGAGAAAUGGGGCUGAGAGGGCGGGUAUUUUUUUAAAAAUUCAUUAAAUGGAAAAAUCCACAAAUGUUAAUUCUGGUAGAUUUCUUAGAAAUUACAUCAGAGGAGCAUGCUUGGUCUUCCCACCCUCAUUAGGCCUCAGUGACAGGUACUUGAACAACUGAGCCCCUAAUGUGCAUGCUCCCCCACCCCUGAAGCCAGUCUCUGCCCUCCUCUUCCCUCCUCUUGCCCCUGGAAGCUGAUCGCCACCAACUGGCCUCUGGGUGGAUUUGGCCAAUGGAAGCACCUGUAGAGGGAAGAGAGUGAGGUUAGGAUAUUUCUUCCUGCUGUCUCCGUGCUUCCCUGCAGAGAGUGUGAAGAAAUGACCCUGAAAAGCCUCUGGCAGAGGAUUCUUCUUUCAGGAUGGUGUCGCCUCCUCAGCAGCCCAUCCUCCUCCCCUGGACUCAAGCUCUCAUUCCAGUAACACUCCUUCCUCCUUCUCCAUCUUCAGGGGGAGGUUUGCCAGUCGGUGGGUUCUAAGCAUAUCUCGCUGAUUCCCCCCAACCCUGCCGACACCUCUGUAGGUCGUCCCUUCAUUAAAAUCUCUCCAUUUGAACUAUCUGAGUUUAAUUCCAUUUCCUCCUGGUAUCUCAGUGAUACACGGUAUCAGUACAAAAAUCUCGCUUCACCUUCAGAACCAACAGAUUUGAGACAUUUUAUCCUCUGUGGAACCAUUAGUUAUUUUGUCAUUGGUUGUAUCAGAAAAAAAAAUCAGGAAUGCAAAUCCUUCUUUAUUACAGAUUCAGAUUUGCAUAUUACCAAUGUUAUAUAUUUUAAACAAAACUAUUCAUCAUAAGUUUUAAAAAUUAACUACUGGAGUAGUUAAUGAAUCUGAAUGUAAUUAUGUAGCUUUCAUAAUAUUAAAGUAAAAAUACUAAAAGAAGUAUUUCUUAAAGAAGCAAAUGCUCAAUCUCCAAGUAAAUUUUAUUCUAUGCUCUUCCGGUAUAAGAAUAUGUUAAUAUCUUGAAAAAUAUCAUAUUAUUUUGUGAACUCAUAAAGCUAUUUUGAGUUUUUGUAAAAUGAAAACCUUACCAAAAUGUAUUUUAUUGUUGGAAAGCUUGACCGUUACUGCUGUUUAAUUUUUUGAGCUUGUAAACUUUAUUUGUGCAUGUUUUCAACAAAGAAGGAUUUUAUUGUUAUUACAUAAAACAGGUGAUUUCUAGAUUUUAAAAUCACAAAUUGAAAGCAAGGCACAAUAAUAUAUAUUUCAAGAUAUAGGUACUUAGGAGGCAUCCUUUUAGUCAUCUGUUCAAUGUAGCCAUCUAUUUUACACCUACUGUCUACUAUUGUUUGAGGUCCUUGCCAAAGUAUUGCAGGCUAGUUAGGAAACAUAAAACAAUUAGAAAGUAAUCUAUGACAAGUAAGCUAUCUAUAAAUGGCAAUGAAG